rnacentral:rRNA from 1 species
UGGCCGUAAACGAUGUGGACUUGGUGUUGGAAUGGCUCCGAGCUGCUCCAGUGCCGAAGGGAAGCUGUUAAGUCCACCGCCUGGGAAGUACGGUCGCAAGACUGAAACUUAAAGGAUUGGCGGGGGAGCACCACAACGCGUGGAGCCUGCGGUUUAAUUGGAUUCAACGCCGGACAUCCCACCAGGGGCGACAGCAGAAUGAUGGCCAGGUUGAUGACCUUACUUGACAAGCUGAGAGGAGGUGCAUGGCGUGUGACUGU